CACACCUCUCUUCACCUCUCACGAUCUCUCGUCUCCAUCUCUCACGCCUUAGCUCUCUUAAAGACAUGGGUUUAAUAAGAUAGCAGAAAAGAUGGUAGAGAUAAUGGCAGAGGAUCGUGUGGUGUUGCAGCAGGAUCACAAAUUCCGUGUGCACUCUGUGUUGGAGAUACCUGGAAUUAUAAAGUGGUCACCAUUUCACAUUGCUGCAGUUAACCAUCUCAAAGCUGUUGAAGAAAACAGAGUGGCUUUUAUGUCUUUCUCUAGUGAUGAUGAUAAGAUUAGCUAUCUUGAGAAUAUGAUUGGAGUUAUGACGGAUUGUAGUCUGUUUCAGUAUGACUGUUUUAAUAUGACUCAGAUUGUAGUGUUUCUUUUAAGUAUGACUUUUGUUUCAUUUCUUUUGUUAUGACUCAGAUUGUAGUAUUUUAAUGUGAUAGGAAAUUAGGAACCAUGACCA